rnacentral:rRNA from 1 species
UCGGCUUAGAGUUUGAUCAUGGCUCAGGACGAACGCUGGCGGCGUGCCUAAUACAUGCAAGUCGAACGCACCGAAGCUUGCUUUGGUGAGUGGCGGACGGGUGAGUAACACGUGGGUAACCUGCCUAUCACAGGGGGAUAACACUUGGAAACAGGUGCUAAUACCGCAUAGAUUUUUUUCGCAUGAACGAAAAGGAAAGACGUUCGUGUCACUGAUAGAUGGACCCGCGGUGCAUUAGCUAGAUGGUGAGGUAACGGCUCACCAUGGCGAUGAUGCAUAGCCGACCUGAGAGGGUGAUCGGCCACACUGGGACUGAGACACGGCCCAGACUCCUACGGGAGGCAGCAGUAGGGAAUCUUCGGCAAUGGACGAAAGUCUGACCGAGCAACGCCGCGUGAGUGAAGAAGGUUUUCGGAUCGUAAAACUCUGUUGUUAGAGAAGAACGAGUGGGAGGUAAUUCCCGCUGUGACGGUAUCUAACCAGAAAGCCACGGCUAACUACGUGCCAGCAGCCGCGGUAAUACGUAGGUGGCAAGCGUUGUCCGGAUUUAUUGGGCGUAAAGCGAGCGCAGCGGUUUCUUAAGUCUGAUGUGAAAGCCCCCGG